rnacentral:rRNA from 1 species
GAUGAACGCUGGCGGCGUGCCUAAUACAUGCCAGUCGAGCGAACAGACGAGGAGCUUGCUCCUCUGACGUUAGCGGCGGAUGGGUGAGUAACACGUGGAUAACCUACCUAUAAGACUGGGAUAACUUCGGGAAACCGGAGCUAAUACCGGAUAAUAUAUUGAACCGCAUGGUUCAAUAGUGAAAGACGGUUUUGCUGUCACUUAUAGAUGGAUCCGCGCCGCAUUAGCUAGUUGGUAAGGUAACGGCUUACCAAGGCAACGAUGCGUAGCCGACCUGAGAGGGUGAUCGGCCACACUGGAACUGAGACACGGUCCAGACUCCUACGGGAGGCAGCAGCAGGGAAUCUUCCGCAAUGGGCGAAAGCCUGACGGAGCAACGCCGCGUGAGUGAUGAAGGUCUUCGGAUCGUAAAACUCUGUUAUUAGGGAAGAACAAAUGUGUAAGUAACUAUGCACGUCUUGACGGUACCUAAGCAGAAAGCCACGGCUAACUACGU